ensembl:snoRNA
AAGGUGUGCUUAGAGUAGGUGGCCUGAAGUAUGGCUUCUCUGCUUACAACACACCUAACAGGAAUUUAGGGUCAUUGUGACAAGGGACUCAAAACUUGUGACUUCCCUUUGAGCAAAUGUCACACGCAU